GGCACUUAUGACAAGGCAAAGAGGAGGGCCAAGAAGGCGGAAUGCGAGUUGGCUGUGGACACCACGGAGCUGUCGGCGAUGCUGCUGCGGGUGCAGCUGGAGGUGCGGCAGCAGAACAGGGAUGUCCUGCAUGAGCUGUAGCAGCUGAGGCAUGAAGUACGGGUCGUGUCUGAGAGGCUGGAUGAAACUGAGCCUCUCAACAAGACCCGUGCAGUGUCUCAGCCUGCCUUGUCGACUGUGCCUCCAGUUCUUCCUCGGCUACCUGCCGACAAUAUGAAAGAAUUAGAGGCAGCCGUGUGGGAUGAGGCUGUGGCUGCCACCUUGCGCAAGCACCUCCUGCAAAUAGGAGGGAAGUCACUGCGCGAGGUGGCAUCGUAUGCCAUGAAGGCUGUAAUGGCGCACCCCGUCCAAGUGCCUUACAGCCUUCAUAGCAGGAAGGGGAAGAGGGCAUUCAUCAAUU